UAUGUCCUCCUCUGUAAAUCGCUUUGGAUAAAAGCGUCUGCUAAAUGUAAUGUA
rfam:Larimichthys crocea isolate SSNF unplaced genomic scaffold scaffold339, whole genome shotgun sequence.